UUUCCUUCUUUCUUUUCUCUAUACGUAGGUGUUCUAACCAAUAAUCACCGAUGCGAUGCUCUGUCCGAUAGAUUCAUGAACCAUCCAACGAAUACCGAAGUGCUGUGCUUUGUGAAUUUCGUUAAAUGGAAUCCAAAGUACUAUACCUUGUGAGUUCAUUAAAUGGAUACCAAAGUACUGUCUGAAUAAGACUAUACUUUGUGAAAUUCGUUAAGGUUCGAAUCUCGUGACUACCGUUAAGGUUUGAUUUGGGUUUUACACAAAUACGUAUUCCAUUCUGUUAAACUAUAUGUUUAACUACCGAAAAUACUUCCCACUACACACUCACAAUCAAACAAACUAUUAAAUCAUCAGAAGAUCCAGAAUAAUAAAGUGCAUGAUUAAUUAUCGGAAGAAGUAGAAUCAAGAAGUUUGUUAACUCAAUCCUGCAUGCUGAUUUGUAACACAAUGUGAAAGCCAAUUAGAAGCCAGCUGGACAGCACUGAAGGCUUGGAAAAGUGGCUAUAAAAGUUACCUAAAUAAAAGAAAGCGUUUAUUUCAAUAAAGUGAGAUUUAUCCCUGUAAAUCAGUUUGUAAUAAAAACUUGGGUUUUACCCAUGUGUUUAAUAUUAUAAAAUAUGGUGGUUUACGCUGAUUUAAUAUUUCCUAACUACGGUCCUGAUGAAAAUUUCCGCUGCCAAAUAAGUAAUUAACAUGAUACCACCGAAACUGGCUCACGGCCGCCCGUUCCCGGGAACUAGGGAUCGGGGGCUGUGACAACUGCAAGAUACAAUCUUAGAGGAAGCUCAUAAGUCUAAGUAUUCCAUUCACCCUGGCAGUGACAAGAUGUAUAAGGAUUUAAGGAGAGAUUAUUGGUGGCCAGGAAUGAAGCGAUCUGUUGCCCAUUAUGUGGAAAAGUGCCUUACAUGCCUUAAGGUGAAGGCAGAACAUCAAAAACCCUCUGGAUACUUGCAACAACCAGAGAUUCCAGAAUGGAAAUGGGAGAAAAUCACCAUGGAUUUUAUCACGAAGCUCCCAAGGUCAAGUCACAGUUAUGAUACUAUUUGGGUAAUAGUUGACAGACUGACCAAGUCUGCACACUUCGUGCCAAUUCGUGAGGACUAUAAAAUGAACAAGCUAGCUCAAAUUUACAUCAAAGAAAUAGUCUCACGACAUGGGGUGCCUGUAUCGAUCUUAUCAGACAGAGAUAGUCGUUUCACAUCUAAAUUCUGGCAAAGUUUCCAACAAGAGUUGGGAACCAAGCUUAAUCUAAGCACUGCAUAUCAUCCUCAGACGGAUGGGCAGAGUGAACGGACUAUUCAGACAUUAGAAGAUAUGCUUCGGGCUUGUGAAAUUGAUUUUGGUGGAAGUUGGGACACUCAUCUACCACUCAUCGAAUUCGCCUACAAUAAUAGCUAUCACGCCAGCAUCAAAGCUGCACCUUAUGAAGCUUUAUACGGAAGAAGGUGCCGAACUCCUAUCUGUUGGACGGAAGUAGGGGAAAGUCAACUAUCAGGACCAGAAAUCAUUGUGGAGAC
rnacentral:lncRNA from 1 species